rnacentral:rRNA from 1 species
UGGGGAAUAUUGCACAAUGGGCGCAAGCCUGAUGCAGCCAUGCCGCGUGUAUGAAGAAGGCCUUCGGGUUGUAAAGUACUUUCAGUCGGGAGGAAGGUGUCAAGGUUAAUAACCUUGGCAAUUGACGUUACCGACAGAAGAAGCACCGGCUAACUCCGUGCCAGCAGCCGCGGUAAUACGGAGGGUGCAAGCGUUAAUCGGAAUUACUGGGCGUAAGGCGCACGCAGGCGGUUGAUUGAGUCAGAUGUGAAAUCCCCGGGCUUAACCCGGGAAUUGCAUCUGAUACUGGUCAGCUAGAGUCUUGUAGAGGGGGGUAGAAUUCCAGGUGUAGCGGUGAAAUGCGUAGAGAUCUGGAGGAAUACCGGUGGCGAAGGCGGCCCCCUGGACGAAGACUGACGCUCAGGUGCGAAAGCGUGGGGAGCAAACAGG